UACGUAGGAUGCAAGCGUUGUCCGGAUUUACUGGGCGUAAAGCGCGCGCAGGCGGCACUCUAAGUACGUCGUGAAAUAUCCCGGCUCAACCGGGAGGGUGCGAUGUAGACUAGGGAGCUAGAGGUCGGUAGAGGGGGGUGGAAUUGCUGGUGUAGCGGUGAAAUGCGUAGAUAUCGGGAGGAACACCAGUGGCGAAGGCGGCCUUCUGGACCAGUACUGACGCUCAUGCACGAAAGCGUGGGGAGCAAACAGG
rnacentral:rRNA from 1 species